CCAAAGCCAUAAUAUCCUAUUUGAAAAUGACCAGUACUUUAUUAUUAAAUACUACCAAUACAAGCUCCCCAAUAUAUCCAUGCUACAGUGAAAUCAUAUUAAAAUUCCCCUCCUCUUAGUUUCCAGAAUCGAGUUAAGUACUCCUUUCUCUCACUUUCCCUCUUUGCUCUUCUUUUGUGAUCUUGGAUUUCCAAGCCUGGAAGUAUAAGUAGGAAGAGCUUCCAAAUAGGAAGUGGUCCUCUGCAGUGUUAGGUCUUUGGCAGCAGAUAAUGGUGAAAGCUAUAUAGCUGUGUAAAGUUGGCCGCAAAUAGAGGGAAGAAUAAAAGAAAACAAUAAAUAAAUGAAUUAUCAGAAGGUGAUUGAUGUAACUUCAAUGAACUUCAGCCAGUCAACGAAUUGAGCGGAAGCUUUCAAUGGGAUCAGAUUCUUCAAGCAUGGAGGCCGCUAGAAAGCAGUCUGUGGCAUCAGCCAUCCGUCCAUCAUCUCUAUGAACCAUCCCUAAGUAAUACCAAGCCAUACGGUUUGUAGGUUCUAUCCUCAAUGCAUCUGAGAGCAUGCUUCUUGCGACAGGCAAUGCAUCGGAGCCCAUCUUGGAUAACAGGGCACCUAUCAAUAUCUUGCAAGGUACAUAUGAUGGUUCAAGUAAAAAGGCAUUUAUGUAGCUGCACAUAGCAUCUUGGACUUCCCCACGACCUUGAUGCAUAAAACCUUCUGUAUGAAGCAAUUCUGCAGAGUACUGUUUCAAUUCUCUGGCUUUUCCCAG
rnacentral:misc_RNA from 1 species